GGUGAGUCCCUUAUAAGAUCUUCCUUUCUUCUCUUUUCUUCUAUUAGUUAGCUUGGAUUGAGAGAAAGCUCCGCCCAAUAGCGCUUAGCCACCCAUGUGUGUGUAGACCGAAAUGGUCUCGCGAAGCCGGUCAACGGUAGCCUACCUAAGAGCAAGUCAAAACUACGAGAAGGGCGCGAGAAGUUUUGUGAAGGUAGAGAGAGAUUUUCAAAUCAGACUUCAAGUUGGUGUGCCGCGUGUUAAGAAGGCAGAGACCGCCCCAGGCUUCGCCCUAAUUCCCAUCUAAGGUUGAAUAAGAUUAGAUUAGUCUCGCAAAAUUCGUUCUCGAAUGAUUCAUCGAUGGAAUUAGGCCUAGUUGUAUGAAAAUUUCUUGUGAUUCCCCUCUUUCUUCGACGAAGGCAUACACGCAUCGAUAGGGAACCCAAAGAAGGGCUAGAAAAAGGAAAGCGGCACCUUAACUUAAUAGCUCCAUUUCUUGUUCCUGAGCGGAAGGUACGCUCAGCCCCUGAUACAUCGCUAUUUCUUAAUCCUUGCGUCCAGGGAUAAUGAGUCGGUUGGCUCUUAGAGUAUAGCCUCUCUCGGGGUUAGCGAUAAGAGUACACCGGCCCGUGUGGUAGCGGGCGAACUAAGGAUUUCGUGCUUGCAAGGAAGCGUGCAAGUGGGUGAACGCAUCACCAGCCAAGCUAGUCACUUGGAACAUAGGGGUAUUCAAUCCCCGAGCUUCCGGGCCUUGAGAACCGACUUCGGAUUUGCCCCUUAGAUAGUGAGUAGCAAAGAAGGGUAGGGUUUCAAGUUUAGGGUUUUCACUUCCACGUCCCAGCUCGUCGAAGCUACCGCCUAUCGAUUGAAAUUUCCCUCCUCAGCCGGAGGCGGAACCGGCUCCCCCUGAACCAUCCUCGGAAGAGUAAGGAAGGAGAAGGGAACGGGAGUUUCUCGCCUCCUAAGAGUAUAAAGAGGCGGAGUGUCACCCCAACAAACUAGACGCACGCAUCAAGGCGUUCUGCCAACGAGCGAAGGCGAUCGCUCAAGAAAGGGGAUUCAGCCCCGGCAAAUGCGAUGCAGUGAAAGACGCUGCGGACUAUGUGGCCGGUAACGUAAAAGAUAUGCCGGCAGCUAGCCAACUCCGCUUUCUAACGAGGUUAAGGCGUGACCUAGAAAACGGAAACAGCGAGACCUGGGGUGGGGUCUCAUCGAACGGGAAGUUCGAAGAUGGAGACCCGGUUCGGCACGAAAUAAGAAAGGUUUGGGGGCCCGUUGGUCAAAGGAAAGGGAAGGUCCUGCUUCCGGGACGGAGCCGUAUGACGCGAGAGUGUCACGUACGGUUCCUUUGAGAAGGGUGUGAUACCACCACCUAUCAGGCCCGACGAGCGGUCCACGGAGCUGCAUCCCUACUCACCUGGUCUAUGCACAUCGCUCUCUCCAGGAGGUUGGCCGCCUAUCCUAGAUCUUCCCAUUUCCAAGAAGAUCCCGGGCUCGAUCUGGUUUAGUAUCAAGGUGAUUCUUUUUCUGUUCCUAUAUAUAUGGGUCCGUGCAGCAUUUCCACGAUAUCGUUAUGAUCAAUUAAUGGGACUUGGCCGGAAAGUGUUCUUGCCUCUAUCAUUAGCUCGGGUAGUCCCCGUUUCUGGUGUUUUAGUCACCUUUCAAUGGCUCCCUUAAUUAUGUGCGAGGAAUUGCCCUAUUGAGUAAUGGUGGGAAGCGGGCUAGCCCCCGAAAAUGCCCCGCCCGUAAGUUCCUUUGUCGUUGGGGAAAAAAAAGAAAGAGAUUUAAAAAAGAAAAGAAAUUGCGUAAAUUCUGCCUUUUUUGAUCCCAUGCUUUCCGUUGGUCAACAACCAACUAAAUCUAUACCUCUUCACUACUCGUACAGGUUUGACGGAGUGAAGCUGUAUUGAGGGAAUCUUUUUGUCUCAAUCAAUCAAGAAUGCCCAAUAAAAGUAAAAGACCCUUCUCUUCUAUUUUUAAAGGAAGACUGUCUACUAUUUAUGAAGAUUUCGCCGCCAGUCCUUCUCAAUCGACCGAACCUUUUAACUACACGACUUUUAUUGAGAGUUGUGGGACCAAGGGCUUUCCAGUCCUUAAACCUCGCCCAGUUAUCGAGAAGAUAGAGGAGAAAUUAGGAGAGCCUAUUGUUAUCGAGACUGCCAAAAGAGGUUUCCCUGUACGAGGCCGUUACGAGAGGGAGAGCGACUAUAUACUACGCGCAUUGAAAUAUUAUUACAGUAUAGGGGGACGGGCGGAGGAUAUCUUUAAAAAGCCAAAGAAAGACGCGCGUACAGACGACCCCGACCAAACUGAACAAUUAGAAAUAAGUGACCAAACUGAACAAUUAGAUCUAAGUGGCCCACCUGAACAAGUGGAUCUAGUGAAAGAUCUCGUCUCCAGCCCACCUGAACAAUUAGAAAUAAGUGGCCCAUUUUCACAAUUAGAAAUAAGUGGCCCACCUGAACAAUUUGAGAUUGUGCCAUUGAUGGAUUUUCCUAUUGGAAACUUCUAUUUUUCAUUCACAAAUCCAUCUUUUUUUAUGCUACUAACUCUCAGUUUGGUCCUACUUUUCUUUUAUUUUGUUACUAAAAAAAUGAAAAAGAAUAUUUCUUCCAUAUCCAUAAUUAAUGGAUAUUUCAAGUAGAAGAGCUCACCUAUUGUUUCACAUUUGAAUUUCUCUUACAUUCUACGUUCCCGAAAUGGAUCCUAUCAAAUAUUUCACAUUUUCUAUGAUUAUCUCUAUUUCAGGUAUUCGGGGAAUCCUCCUUAAUAGACGAAAUAUUCCUAUUAUGUCAAUGCCAAUUGAAUCAAUGUUAUUAGCUGUGAAUUCGAACUUUUUGGUAUUUUCUGUUUCUUCGGAUGAUAUGAUGGGUCAAUCAUUUGCUUCAUUGGUUCCAACGGUGGCAGCUGCGGAAUCUGCUAUUGGGUUAGCUAUUUUCGUUAUUACUUUCCGAGUCCGAGGGACUAUUGCUGUAGAAUCUAUUAAUAGCAUUCAAGGUUAAAGAUGACUCCUAGAGAGUUACCAAAAUACGAAGUUCUCUUCUCCUUUCUUUCUCUUCUUUCUUUUUGAUACUUGGUUGGCAGGGUCAGGGCCUUUCUCGCUGGGCGAGCGCAUCCGAUUCUAAAGUCCUUUCUUAUUCUUAAACCACUUCCCGUUCAGUUGCUGAAAGAUAGAGAUCAGGCUUUCUAAAUGAGAUUGAGUUCCACGAAUAUGCAGGCUAGAAAGAUGCUAUUUGCUGCUAUUCUAUCUAUUUGUGCAUCAAGUUCGAAGAAGAUCUCAAUUUAUAAUGAAGAAAUGAUAGUAGCUCUAUGUUUUAUAGGCUUUAUCAUAUUCAGUCGGAAGAGUUUAGGUAAUACUUUCAAAGUGACUCUCGACGGGAGAAUCCAGGCUAUUCAGGAAGAAUCGCAGCAAUUCCCCAAUCCUAACGAAGUAGUUCCUCCGGAAUCCAAUGAACAACAACGAUUACUUAGGAUCAGCUUGCGAAUUUGUGGCACCGUAGUAGAAUCAUUACCAAUGGCACGCUGUGCGCCUAAGUGCGAAAAGACAGUGCAAGCUUUGUUAUGCCGAAACCUAAAUGUUAAGUCAGCAACACUUCCAAAUGCCACUUCUUCCCGUCGCAUCCGUCUUCAGGACGAUAUAGCCAUAAAGAUGCACGUCUUAGUGGGGAAAAGAUUUUGCCCCCGGUGUAGCUCGAAAGCAGAAAGAGUAGAAUUCAUUCGAGAGAGCUUGGUGGUCUUAAGAAUGGUUCGGGUGGGGGAUUCUCUUAAGAAUAAAGAAUUAGAAUAGAAUCUAAUUCAUGUUCAUGUUAACAGAAGAGCGGAUCCAAUACCAAGACGCUUGAGAGAAAGGGCUAGCCUUGUAU
rnacentral:lncRNA from 1 species